rnacentral:rRNA from 1 species
GACAGAGGGUGCGAACGUUGUUCGGAAUUACUGGGCGUAAAGCGCGUGUAGGCGGCAGCGCAAGUCGGGCGUGAAAUCCCACGGCUCAACCGUGGAAGUGCACUCGAAACUGCGCAGCUAGAGUCCUGGAGAGGAAGGUGGAAUGCUUGGUGUAGAGGUGAAAUUCGUAGAUAUCAAGCGGAACACCGGUGGCGAAGGCGGCCUUCUGGACAGUGACUGACGCUGAGACGCGAAAGCGGUGGGGAGCAAACAGG